UACGAGAGGUGCGAGCGUUAUUCGGAAUUAUUGGGCGUAAAGGGUGCGCAGACGGUUUGUUAAGUCAAUUGUUUAAUUCCUCGGCCUAACUGAGGAUCAGCAGUAGAAACUGAUAAGCUAGAGUAUGAGAGAGGGAAGUGGAAUUCUCGGAGUAGCGGUAAAAUGCGUAGAUCUCGAGAGGAACACCGAUGGCGAAGGCAGCUUCCUGGCUCAUUACUGACGUUCAUGCACGAAAGCGUGGGGAGCAAACAGG
rnacentral:rRNA from 1 species